rnacentral:rRNA from 1 species
UACAGAGGUCCCAAGCGUUGUUCGGAUUCACUGGGCGUAAAGGGUGCGUAGGUGGCUUGGUAAGUUUGAUGUGAAUCUCCGGGCUUAACCCGGAAAUGGCAUUGAAUACUAUUGAGCUGGAGGUUUGGAGGGGGACUGGAAUUCUCGGUGUAGCAGUGAAAUGCGUAGAUAUCGAGAGGAACACCAGUGGCGAAGGCGAGUCCCUGGACAACACCUGACACUGAGGCACGAAGCUAGGGAGCAAACGGG